CCCUUAGAUGUUCUGGGCUGCACGCGCGCUACACUGAUGCGCUCAACGAGUUUUAACCUUGCCUGGAAAGGUUGGGUAAUCUUUUUAAAACGCAUCGUGAUGGGGAUAGAUUAUUGCAAUUAUUAAUCUUCAACGAGGAAUUCCUAGUAAACGCAAGUCAUCAACUUGCAUUGAUUACGUCCCUGCCCUUUGUACACACCGCCCGUCGCACCUACCGAUUGAAUGGUCCGGUGAAGCCUCCGGAUUGGCGCGCACCUCGGUGCCGCCGAGAAGUUGGCUAAACCUUACCAUUUAGAGGAAGGUGAAGUCGUAACA
rnacentral:rRNA from 1 species